rnacentral:rRNA from 1 species
GUGCCAGCCGCCGCGGUAAUACGGAGGGUGCGAGCGUUAAUCGGAAUUACUGGGCGUAAAGGGCGCGUAGGCGGUCGCGCAAGUCGGGUGUGAAAGCCCCGGGCUCAACCUGGGAAUUGCAUUCGAUACUGCGUAACUAGAGUCUGGUAGAGGGAAGCGGAAUUCCGCAUGUAGCGGUGAAAUGCGUAGAUAUGCGGAGGAACACCAGUGGCGAAGGCGGCUUCCUGGACCAAGACUGACGCUGAGGCGCGAAAGCGUGGGGAGCAAACAGGAUUAGAUACCCUGGUAGUCCACGCCCUAAACGAUGAGGACUAGACGUUGGGGGGAUAAAACCCUUUAGUGUCGCAGCUAACGCGUGAAGUCCUCCGCCUGGGGAGUACGGCCGCAAGGUUGAAACUUAAAUGAAUUGACGG